rnacentral:rRNA from 1 species
UACGUAGGGUGCAAGCGUUAUCCGGAAUUAUUGGGCUUAAAGAGCUCGUAGGCGGUCUGUCGCGUCUGCUGUGAAAUCUGGGGGCUCAACCCCCAGCCUGCAGUGGGUACGGGCAGACUAGAGUGCGGUAGGGGAGAUUGGAACUCCUGGUGUAGCGGUGGAAUGCGCAGAUAUCAGGAAGAACACCGAUGGCGAAGGCAGAUCUCUGGGCCGUAACUGACGCUGAGGAGCGAAAGCAUGGGGAGCGAACAGG